CACGUAGGAGGCAAACGUUAUCCGGAUUUACUGGGCGUAAAGCGCGUGUAGGUGGUACUGUAAGUAGGGCGUGAAAGCUCCUGGCUCAACUGGGAGAGGCCGUUCUAAACUACAGAACUAGAGGAUGGUAGAGGGAGGUGGAAUUCCAGGUGUAGCGGUGGAAUGCGCAGAUAUCUGGAGGAACACCGGUGGCGAAGGCGGCCUCCUGGACCAUUCCUGACACUCAGACGCGAAAGCUAGGGUAGCAAACGGGAUUAGAGACCCCGGUAGUCCUAGCCCUAAACGAUGUAGACUAGGCGUCGGAAGCUUAAUCGCUUUCGGUGUCCAAGCUAACGCGAUAAGUCUACCGCCUGGGGACUACGGCCGCAAGGUUA
rnacentral:rRNA from 1 species